rnacentral:rRNA from 1 species
GUGGGGAAUCUUAGACAAUGGGGGCAACCCUGAUCUAGCCAUGCCGCGUGAUCGAUGAAGGCCUUAGGGUUGUAAAGAUCUUUCAGCUGGGAAGAUAAUGACGGUACCAGCAGACGAAGCCCCGGCUAACUCCGUGCCAGCAGCCGCGGUAAUACGGAGGGGGCUAGCGUUGUUCGGAAUUACUGGGCGUAAAGCGCACGUAGGCGGAUUGGAAAGUUGGGGGUGAAAUCCCGGGGCUCAACCCCGGAACUGCCUUCAAAACUCCCAGUCUUGAGGUCGAGAGAGGUGAGUGGAAUUCCGAGUGUAGAGGUGAAAUUCGUAGAUAUUCGGAGGAACACCAGUGGCGAAGGCGGCUCACUGGCUCGAUACUGACGCUGAGGUGCGAAAGCGUGGGGAGCAAACAGGAUUAGAUACCCUUGUAGUCC